UCAGAUACUGCAUGGCUCGAGUGCGGGAGGGGAGAGUCGGAACUUCUGGUGGAGCGGUGAAAUGCGUAGAUAUCAGAAGGAACGCCGGCGGCGAAGGCGACUCUCUGGUCCGUAACUGACGCUGAGUGUGCGAAAGCUAGGGGAGCAAACGGGAUUAGAUACCCCGGUAGUCCUAGCCGUAAACGAUGGGCACUAAGUAGAGGGGUUUU
rnacentral:rRNA from 1 species